rnacentral:lncRNA from 1 species
AUUUCUCUCUCUGCUCUCCGCAAGCGACUCUCCGCCGGUCUCCAUCAAUUCAACUCAAGUACUUCUGCUUCUACUCAUUCUUUUCCUUCUUCCAUUUUUCUUAUUCACGUAGGGCCUGAAAUCUGAUCAUGACCUCCUCAAGACUGGCUUGGAUCCCUGAGCACUUAAAAAGCCACAGGUCCCUGGGUUACCAGGGGACUCAGUAUCACAAAAUCUGUGACUGAGGGUAUAUCUCUGAAGGUCACAGGCCAAGAGAGGACAGAGGGCCCUGGUAGGUGUGUCUGGAACCCAAUAACUUUGCCCUGGGUCCCCCAUGUCUUGGCAGAGGCCGGCCCACCCCCACCCCCAACUGAAGCCUAGGCUUNNNNNNNNNNUUUGCUAAAUACCACUUCCUCUUUUUGUAAUAAGAGGGCUCCCCAGGCUAGAUCUAUUGCCCCAUCGACCAAUGUGUCAGCACUUACCAGAGACGGUUUCCUGAGUGGAGUGAACAACACAUGAAAUGUGAGGCUGAGAUCCCUCAGUUCAGUGACUUCCUGGGAACCCUAUGUCUGGGACUAGCUCUGUGUCUGGAGUGUAGUGAGGGAGGGAUCAGGCAGGGGUCAGGUUAUGCAGGACUGAGGCUGAGGGAGGAGUUUGGUAUUGAUUAUGUGCAGUUAUUUACCACUCAUUUGUGGCAGCCAGUCUUCAGUGUACCUCAGUCAUCAGGGGGCCGCCUGAGCCCCACUUCAGGCGUUACCAGAGAAUCUUGAGUUUUACAUAGCUUGGAGCUCUGUGACGCUGACGGUCCGAAUCCGCAACCAAAUUCACCUCCAGGAGGGCAAGAGAAUUGGAAGGAAUGCAUAAGCCCAGUUUUGCUGGUGGGCCUUGGCUCCAGAGUUUUGGCGUAAGCAAGCCAAGCCGGAAAUUCUCCUUUUUCACUCUUUUUGGCUAUCUGGCCUGACUUGGGUGGAAGAGACUGACUUCCAGCGGUCUGGACCAGAGGCCGGGGACAAAGACCCCGAAGAUGUUAACUGCUUCUGCCCCGGAGCUGCCUUUUCACGGUGUUCGCGGUGGGUGCGAAUAUCUGCACCGGGUUUCUGGGACGCACAUACGGAGGCCCGGUUGGCGGGCUAGUGCGCGGGCGGCCCCGCGCGCACGGCCGUCGCCCUUGACAACGUGACACAAGGUCGUGGGGGUCCCGCCCCCAGGCCCGACUGUCCCCGCGCGGGCCGGCC